UGGUGGAGCGAUUUGUCUGGUUAAUUCCGAUAACGAACGAGACUCUAGCCUGCUAAAUAGACAGGGAAUCGUUAGUUCCCUGUACUUCUUAGAGGGACAAGCGGCAUCUAGCUGCACGAGACAGAGCAAUAACA
rnacentral:rRNA from 1 species